CUGGAGGACAGGAGCCAGGCCCAGGCGGGGCACACCACAUGCUACAUCUUCAUGUCUGCCUCCAACCCUGACCACGAACAAGCACAGAGCGCUGACCCUGCCCACGACCCACUCAGUCACAACCACUGCGCUGCCCACCGUGGAGCACAGCCAGGUGGGCCCAGUCCCUCCUGUGGGCACACCUAAGGACUAUCCCUCUCUUUUUCCUUUCUUGUCUUGCUCAGCCACAGCCUCCGGCUUCAGGGAGGACCUGGGCUCCUGGCAGGCCCAGAGGAGGGGUCUGAAUUGACAGGGCACUGCCCAGACUUGCCCCCAAACGUGCCCUCUCAAUGGAGCCUCCAAGUAUCAGCGGGAGCACAGCCAGCCAGGGUCAAGACUACGCUUCCCAGCUCCUCACAGUGAGAGAUGGCUACACCAUUCAACUCUGGCCAAGAAUGCAAGAGAAGAUGACACUUGCAGCUUUGGGAGACAUCCUAAAAGGGAAGCAGUGGGCCCUUCUUACCUAAUGGCUAGAAUGGGGAUGUGAUGGCUGGAGGUCAAGCAGCCUUAUUGCACCAUGAAGUAGAAGCCUUGUGUCGAGGAUGGGAGAGCAAUAAGGUAGGUCUCUGAUGACUAUGGAACCACCCUACCAGCUUUCGGCCUCCUACCCCAAGACUUUAUCCAUGUAAGAGAGAAAUACACAUGUACUUUGUUUAAGCUGCUGCUGCUUGGAGUUUCUGUCUCUCUCAACGACACCUAAUCCUAAUAAUGAUGGACACGUGACAUGGCCACUAAAGAUGGCGUUCCUGCAAAGGAAACACAGCUGGAGCCCAGUGACAACCUCCAUUCCACCACCUGCUGGGGACGUGCUGCUUGAAGACUGGCCGCCUGCGGCUCCUGGCUUCAUACGUGCAGACCUGCUGCCGUGCAGAGUGGGAGCGAGGGCCUUCC
rnacentral:lncRNA from 1 species